GUGGAUUUCAAAUAAUUAUUUAUUAAGAACUUUUUUUAUUUAACUCUCAUGAAUUUAAACUAAAUACAUUAUUUGGAUAUUCUAAAUAAACUUAAUAUCGGUGGUUUAAUCAGGCUUUUUAUAAAAGCCGCAGCUUCUCCUUCCCUCGUUUUAUAUACGCUUCAAAUGAGUCUUUGUCUGCAAUUGGUAGAGCAUAGAGUCUUCAAUUGGUGGAAUAAUCCGCACCUUCUGCAUAUAUAUUAUUCUUCAUAGAAUGAGAAUGGGUUAAGGUAAGGGGAAGAGUAACCGUAACGAGCAGUUCCUGUUACCACUUCAAGAAAGCUCCCUUCAAAAGCACAAUUAACAUGAAGGUCAAAUUUGCAUUUAUAGCAUUUGUAGCUGAUAGAGUUACCGUACUUAUGACAUCUGAAGCAUUUAUAUUGAAA
rnacentral:misc_RNA from 1 species